AUGGGGUCUGGGGCUGGUCAGAGCACAGAACCCUGGCAGAGGGGUUUGGGCAGCUGCUCGAAGGCGGCCCUCCCACUCCCGCCCCCCACCCCCCCAUGGCUUUGCCAUUGCCACUGUGGCAGCUGCGCAGUGUCAGUCUGGGCCCCAAGGCCAGCCCAAGUACAGCUGAGAGUCCCUGGGCAAGUCCUACAGAGACCCUCUCCGGCCUCCCAGUCCCCGUGGGGUGGGGGGCGAUGGGGGAGUGCGGGUGGUUCGGGCCCUCCACCCCCUGACAGCGACCCCGCCUGCUCCGCGGGGCGCCUCGCACUCACCUUGAAACGCCUGGGCCCCCCGCAGCGGCAAAGGCAGCCUCAGGAACAGCAGCAGCAACAGCCACGCCCGCGACCCUCGAGCUCUCGGAGGCCCCGGCCCAUAGCUGUGCGCGCCUCGGCCUCCACGCGGCCGCUCCCGGCUCCUGCUCCGCCCGGGCUGGCUCCCGGCCGACCCACACCCAGAGCCGCCCGCCCGCCGCCUCCCGACCCCCCAGCGCCGCCCCGCACGGAGCCCCGCAGCCCGGCCGCCGGACCUCGUGCGCCCUCGGGGGGCCGCCGCGGCCGUCAAGGGUGGGAGCCCCCGCUGCAUCCGUGCGGCCCCUCGGGGACCCGCGCGCGCCGGCCGCCGGUACGUCUCAGCGCCCUCUCCUCGCGGGGGCGGAGCGGGGGUGGAGUGGGGCUGGGGCGGGGCCCCUCGGAGGAGCCUCUGAGGGCCACGGGGUGCGGGGGAGACCAGGGCUGGGGGCCCCCCGCGGCUGCUCGGGUCUGCGCAGGGAGCGCCCCCUUCCGCGGUCUCCGGCGAGGACCUCUGCCCCGCCUGGCCCCCAGUCCUGCUCAGGGGGGCCCGGCCAGGGCCCGGCGGGAGAUGCCUCGGGCGGGGGGCGGGCACCCGCGAGGGCGAGGGGCAGGUGCCGCGGCGUCUCGGGCUCGCGUCCGCGUGGCGGUGGCCGCCUGCCCCGGUGCCCGCGUCGCGGAGGGGGGCGGGGGCGCCGCCGCGCUGCGGGCUCGGUCCCGGCAGAGGUGA
rnacentral:lncRNA from 1 species